rnacentral:rRNA from 1 species
UAAUACGAAAGGUGCAAGCGUUGUUCGGAUUUACUGGGCGUAAAGAGAGUGUAGGUUGUUUAUUAAGUCGGAUGUGAAAUCCCGGGGCUCAACCCCGGAACUGCAUUCGAUACUGAUAGGCUAGAGUUCGGGAGGGGUAAGCGGAAUUCCGUGUGUAGCAGUGAAAUGCGUAGAUAUACGGAGGAACACCUGAGGCGAAGGCGGCUUACUGGACCGAUACUGACACUGAGACUCGAAAGCGUGGGUAGCAAACAGGAUUAGAUACCCUGGUAGUCCACGCCCUAAACGAUGUCAACUAGCCGUAGCGGGUAUCGACCCCUGCUGUGGCGAAGCUAACGCGAUAAGUUGACCGCCUGGGGAGUACGGUCGCAAGAUUA